UACAGAGGGUGCAAGCGUUAAUCGGAUUUACUGGGCGUAAAGCGCGCGUAGGCGGCUAAUUAAGUCAAAUGUGAAAUCCCCCGAGCUUAACUUGGGAAUUGCAUUCGAUACUGGUUAGCUAGAGUGUGGGAGAGGAUGGUAGAAUUCCAGGUGUAGCGGUGAAAUGCGUAGAGAUCUGGAGGAAUACCGAUGGCGAAGGCAGCCAUCUGGCCUAACACUGACGCUGAGGUGCGAAAGCAUGGGGAGCAAACAGG
rnacentral:rRNA from 1 species